UCAUUUUCUAAAUGUACAUAUCUCAUUCUCUCUCUUAACUCUCUGUCUCCCUCAUAUCUAUCUAACCCCAAACCCUAAAUUUUCCCGAACAUUUAGAAAUUUUUCCGAACCUCCGAGACCCCUCUAAAAAAAUUUCCAAACUUUCCUAGAGGAAAUUCUCCAAAUUUCCCAGAAAUUUCCCCACAACCUCAAACUCCCAGCUCUCCCUACCUCUCACCGAAAUCCCAAAAUUCUAGUCCUUCGUCGUUCGAAUCCUUCCGGUGAUGAAUUCCCGAUGAAUAGGACUGUCCUCACUGGUAGUUCUACUAGUUGUGUGGUGGUUGGCCACCACGGGAUCCGAAUCAGACCUUGGCCGUAUCCGAAUCCGACUGAGGUCAUGAAGGCGCACCAGAUUAUUGACACGGUUCAGAGGGAGCAGAGGCGUCAAUUUGGAGUCAAGAACCCUAGAACCGUCAUUGUGGUUACUCCCUUCACAUGACCGGUCUGAUGCAUUCGCUGAUGCUGGUGCUGUACGAAGUCGUUUGGAUCGUGGUGGAGGCUGGUGGAGCUAGCAAUGAGACCGAUUCGAUCCUUGCCAAGUCGGGACUCCGGACCAUUCACGUUGGAUUCGAGUAGCGGAUGCCGAAUUCUUGGGAGGGUCGUCAUCGAUUGGAGGCUCGGAUGAGGCUUCGUGCAUUGAGGAAAAUGGGUAUUCUCGAGACAUUCUGACUACGGUGCACAGAAGUAGAGCUGACUGUCCACAACCUGAGGUUUAAAGUUGUUGAAUCCUUGUGCAAUCUUAUUUUCGGUAAUGUACAUCUUAUUCAAAACUUCAUGUAAUUGUCAUUGGGCAGGAAAUGGUUACUGUUAGUGUAGGUGGUUCUAUGCUUGAUCGAAUUUAUAAAAUCAUGUCAUAUUUACGUCUCUGAUUUAUAUUUGUCAUAAAAUCAUGUCAUCUUGAUGCUAAAUUGAAGUUAUUAAGCAUGUAUAUCUGUUUUGAUGUAAUAUAUAUAAAUAUAUAAAUUUUUAUUAAGCUGUCUCUGAUGAUACAUUAGACUAAAUUUUGGGGCUCAGUUGUUGAAUUCUUGAAGUAUAAAAAUCUUCUUGGUAAAUUUUCAUAUCAGUAUUGUGAUUCAUAUGGCCUCUUUCUAUUAUGAGUCUAGUUAUUUCUCACUGCAACUAAUCAUUCGAGGAGAGGUUAGAUAUACAGAAUCAGUUUUGAGUUCUAUAAUUUGAUGGCACUCUUAUUUAUUUGUUUACUUAUUUAUAUUUGUGGCACUCUUUUAGGUCUUGUCUUAAAAAAAAUUUGUAUUUUCUUCUUUCAUUAUUGUCUCCAAUGUUUUUUGCAGCCACAUGUUGACUUUGGAUUAAAAGUACUUGGUGCAAAUGCUAUGUCCAUUCUUGGCCUAUAUGGGUUUGUCCAGUGUUUAGAUGAUGUUUAGUCAUAUAUCCUCGUUGAAAGAUCUUUGGAGAAGUACAAUGUUGUUCUUGACUCUAUAGUUCAAGACUUUCCUCACGUGGUAUUGCUUCAAUACUACAUUGAAUGACAGUGCCUGCUGAAAUGUACGAGGAGGAUUCUCAUGCAUGCUUGUAAUUUUAUAAUGAAUGAUGAGUGAUUUACUUAUUUAGUUCUCAGUUGUUAUCCCUUAGAGACUUAUUUUCCUUUAUUGGGCAUCCUCAACUAGUGCUAGAUAUCUACAGCUGAACUUUAAAUCCUACUUUCUAAAACUCAUUAUUUUUCUUUUUAUACUGCUACUAUUGAUGCAGUAUCUCUAGGAAAUGGCUCUCAGAGAGAUGUCGAUAUACGGAAGGAGGCACUAAACCUCAUUUCUGAUGGUUUAGAAGGAAAACUAUUGUAUGUUCUCCAAGAGCUUCUAUCUUCUAGUCACCCUGACCAAAUGUGAUAUUGAACCCAAGGCACCCGAACUACUGUUGAAGCUGCAUGCCGCCGCUAAUCUGCCGUCGGUCUCCUCUGCUCUGGUUUCAGAGAAAAUGGGAUCAAUGGCAGAUGAAUUAGAUCCAUGUUGAACAAUUGGAUCCAUGUUGAACAAUCAUUGGUGAACACAGGAAAGGAAAGGGCAAAAGUCAGCCUUCUUUUUACAUGGGCGGAAGACAAUGUUGCCAACCAGAGGGAACAUCUAAUUCUUCUCCUUGCCAAUAUUCACAUUCAGAAAGCUAAAAAGCAGUCUGUCUUGAAGGAUCUUGCAGGCAAAGGACACCAAGUGAAUUAGAUAGAGAGGUUAAGAACUUGAGGGUGGCAUUUACUGACCUGUUUUUGAAGCAUAACACUUUCAAAGAAACUGCAAAGCCAUCGAGAUAUUGAUGCAAAGAAUGGAAGAAUGUAUUUCACUAAUUUUUGUAUACAUUUCUUGUUUUGUAUUUAGUGAUAAAGGAAUCUGAAUUGGGCAUAAAUUAUGUUGUAAUAUGAUUUCUUAAGCCUAGACUAGUAGACUAAAUAUUGUAAUUACAUUUGAGUAAUUAAUAAAAAUUUAUUUAUGUUA